rnacentral:rRNA from 1 species
AAUGAACGCUGGCGGCGCGCCUAAUACAUGCAAGUCGAGCGAGAAGACGUAGCAAUACGUUUGUAAAGCGGCGAACGGGUGAGGAAUACAUGGGUAACCUACCCUCGAGUGGGGAAUAACUAGCCGAAAGGUUAGCUAAUACCGCGUACGCUCCUUGGACUUCGGUUCAGGGAGGAAAGCGAUACCGUGGGUAUCGCGCUCUUGGUUGGGCUCAUGUCCUAUCAGCUUGUUGGUGAGGAACGGCUCACCAAGGCUUCGACGGGUAGCUGGUCUGAGAGGACGAUCAGCCACACUGGCACUGCGACACGGGCCAGACUCCUACGGGAGCAGCAGUAAGGAAUAUUGCGCAAUGGGCGAAAGCCUGACGCAGCGACGCCGCGUGGGGGA